GCCUGCAGCCACACCACCUGCAGCUCAGACCAGGUAAUCUACCUGAAACUAAGCAGGUUUGGGCCUGGCAAGUAUUUGGAUGGGAGACCAACUAGGAAAUCUGGGUUCCUGCUAGAA
rnacentral:rRNA from 1 species